AACGAACGCUGGCGGCAGGCUCAACACAUGCAAGUCGAACGCAUCCUUCGGGGUGAGUGGCAGACGGGUGAGUAACGCGUGGGAACGUGCCCUUCAGUUCGGGAUAACCCAGGGAAACUUGGGCUAAUACCGGAUACGUGCGAGAGCAGAAAGAUUUAUCGCUGAAGGAUCGGCCCGCGUCUGAUUAGCUAGUUGGUGGGGUAAUGGCCCACCAAGGCGACGAUCAGUAGCUGGUCUGAGAGGAUGAUCAGCCACAUUGGGACUGAGACACGGCCCAAACUCCUACGGGAGGCAGCAGUGGGGAAUAUUGGACAAUGGGCGCAAGCCUGAUCCAGCCAUGCCGCGUGAGUGAUGAAGGCCUUAGGGUUGUAAAGCUCUUUUACCCGGGACGAUAAUGACUGUACCGGGAGUAUAAGCCCCGGCUAACUUCGUGCCAGCAGCCGCGGUAA
rnacentral:rRNA from 1 species